rnacentral:rRNA from 1 species
AUGCAGUAGGUGCGGUCUGGUAAGACGAUGAUGAAUAUAAAUGGCGAGGGGCCAUUCUUUACGUCCUUCGUGGGAGUGAAGCAAGGGGUCCCGAUCUUGCCCUUUCUCUUCAAUCCCGCUGUUGAUGCGCUACCAGAAAUCUUGGAUAAAGCCACGAAGACAGGUCACCUCUUAGGGUUAGUUGGUCACCUGAUCCUUGGGGGAGGGGUCACUCACCUCCAGUAUGCCGAUGACACCAUGAUUAUGAUGGAGGGGUCCGAUCUGAACAUCGUCAAUCUUAAGUUCCUACUCCUCUGCUUUGAGGCUAUGUCAGGACUAAAGAUUAACUUUGACAAGAGUGAGGUCAUCAUCCUAGGAUUCCUUGCGGAGGAACAACAAUGGAUUGCGGACAACCUAAAUUGCAGACUAACCUUAUUCCCCAUUAUAUACUUGGGAAUGCCGAUGGCCGACUCGAAGAUUCUGAUGAGUGCAUUCGAUCCAUUGGAGGGACGAGUGGCAUCUCGGGCCGAGCCCUGGUGUGCGCAGUUUACUUCCAAGGCAGCAAAUCGGUCCUUAUUAGUUCUAACCUAG